rnacentral:rRNA from 1 species
GAUGAACGCUAGCGGGAGGCCUAACACAUGCAAGCCGAGCGGUAUUGUUUCUUCGGAAAUGAGAGAGCGGCGUACGGGUGCGUAACACGUGUGCAACCUGCCUUUAUCUGGGGGAUAGCCUUUCGAAGGGAAGAUUAAUACUCCAUAAUAUAUUGAACGGCAUCGUUUAAUAUUGAAAGCUCCGGCGGAUAGAGAUGGGCACGCGCAAGAUUAGCUAGUUGGUGAGGUAACGGCUCACCAAGGCGAUGAUCUUUAGGGGGCCUGAGAGGGUGAUCCCCCACACUGGUACUGAGACACGGACCAGACUCCUACGGGAGGCAGCAGUGAGGAAUAUUGGUCAAUGGGUGCAAGCCUGAACCAGCCAUCCCGCGUGAAGGACGACUGCCCUAUGGGUUGUAAACUUCUUUUGUAUAGGGAUAAACCUACCCUCGUGAGGGUAGCUGAAGGUACUAUACGAAUAAGCACCGGCUAACUCCGUG